UCUGAAGCCCUGAGGAUGAGGGCCAGUAGGAAGCUGGCAGAGUUGCUUCUAAACUGAAGCUGGAAAUCACAGCCUCACAUCCCUCAGAGGUACCAGGCCGCCUUUGCCACACGGAGAGUCCCAGAGGGAGAAAGAGGCCUGUGCACUGAGGGCAGGAGAGCCGGGCUUCACGUAGCCCUCCCCAUAUACACAAGGACACCCAGCUCCAGAAGGACCAGGAAAGAAAAGCCAUUUUCAUCCUGUGGAUUGGGAGCCGAAGGUUGGGAACAUGACUGGUUUGUUUUUGUUUUUUAAAAUAAUUUUAUUACUCUG